CCCGGCACAAGCGGUGGAGCAUGUGGUUUAAUUCGACGCAACGCGAAGAACCUUACCAGGGCUUGACAUCUCCUGACCGCGUAUGAAAGUACGUUUUCACCCUCGGGUGACAGGGAGACAGGUGGUGCAUGGUUGUCGUCAGCUCGUGUCGUGAGAUGUUGGGUUAAGUCCCGCAACGAGCGCAACCCCUACGUUUAGUUGCUAACAGGUGAAGCUGAGCACUCUAGACGAACUGCCGUUGACAAAACGGAGGAAGGUGGGGAUGACGUCAAAUCAUCAUGCCCCUUAUGUUCUGGGCUACACACGUGCUACAAUGGCCGGUACAGACGGAGGCGAAGCCGCGAGGCGGAGCAAAACCGAAAAAGCCGGUCUCAGUUCGGAUUGCAGGCUGCAAUUCGCCUGCAUGAAGUCGGAAUCGCUAGUAAUCGCAGGUCAGCAUACUGCGGUGAAUACGUUCCCGGGCCUU
rnacentral:rRNA from 1 species